GGUUAGACGAAGAAUCUAAAUAGGGUCGUUUGUUAGUUUAAUUAAUAGUAAGAUGGUUAUAAGUAAAUAUAUUUCUUUUCUUAGGUGAAAUUUUUAUAAAGAGACAAAUAUUCUUUUUUAUCUAAAAGAAUUAGAAAACAAAGAUAAAAAACCAGGAUUAGAUACCCUGUUAUUCUUUAUGAUUUUAAACAGGGUAGUAAAAGUUAUUCUUCAAACCCAAAGAUUUUGGCGGCAUUCUAACCAAACAGUGGAGCUUGUCCUAUAAUCGAUAACCCCCGUUUUAUCUUACCUUUUCUUGUCAAACUUGUAUACCUCCGUUGUCAGAUUACUCCGGAAGGAUGUUUUCUUUAAAAAUUUAUUUUUACUUCAGGUCAAGGUGCAGUUUAUGGAAAGGCAGUGGUAAGCUACAAUUUUUUAAAAAAUACGGAUAUUUAAAUUCGAAUUUGAUUGAAGGUGGAUUUGUUAGUAAAUUAAUUUAAGGAAAAUUAAUUGAAUAAGGCAAUAGUGUGCGUACAUAUCGCCCGUCACUCUCCUUCCAAAAGGAGAUAAGUCGUAAC
rnacentral:rRNA from 1 species